AGCGAACGCUGGCGGCGUGCCUAACACAUGCAAGUCGAACGUGAAAAGGGAAACCUGAGUAAAGUGGCGUACGGGUGAGUAACGCGUAGGUAAUCUACCCCAGAAUCUGGAAUAACCUGCCGAAAGGCGGGCUAAUACUGGAUAGAGCGAGGGAACUCGUAAGAGAGUUUUUCGGGAAAGGGAGCCCGCAAGGGCCUUCGUUCUGGGAUGAGCCUGCGUCUCAUUGGCUAGUUGGUAAGGUAACGGCUUACCAAGGCGAUGAUGAGUAGCUGGUCUGAGAGGAUGAUCAGCCACACUGGAACUGAAACACGGUCCAGACUCCUACGGGAGGCAGCAGUGGGGAAUCUUGCGCAAUGGACGAAAGUCUGACGCAGCCACGCCGCGUGAGUGAAGAAGGCCUUCGGGUUGUAAAGCUCUGUCGGAUGGGACGAACAUCUUCAUAGUGAAUAGCUAUGAGGACUGACGGUACCAUCAAAGGAAGCACCGGCUAACUCCGUG
rnacentral:rRNA from 1 species